CUAUAGCUUGACACUGAACAUUGAGCCUUGAUGUGUAGGAUAGGUGGGAGGCUUUGAAGUGUGGACGCCAGUCUGCAUGGAGCCGACCUUGAAAUACCACCCUUUAAUGUUUGAUGUUCUAACGUGGACCCGUAAUCCGGGUUGCGGACAGUGUCUGGUGGGUAGUUUGACUGGGGCGGUCUCCUCCUAAAGAGUAACGGAGGAGCACGAAGGUUGGCUAAUCCUGGUCGGACAUCAGGAGGUUAGUGCAAUGGCAUAAGCCAGCUUGACUGCGAGCGUGACGGCGCGAGCAGGUGCGAAAGCAGGUCAUAGUGAUCCGGUGGUUCUGAAUGGAAGGGCCAUCGCUCAACGGAUAAAAGGUACUCCGGGGAUAACAGGCUGAUACCGCCCAAGAGUUCAUAUCGACGGCGGUGUUUGGCACCUCGAUGUCGGCUCAUCACAUCCUGGGGCUGAAGUAGGUCCCAAGGGUAUGGCUGUUCGCCAUUUAAAGUGGUACGCGAGCUGGGUUUAGAACGUCGUGAGACAGUUCGGUCCCUAUCUGCCGUGGGCGCUGGAGAACUGAGGGGGGCUGCUCCUAGUACGAGAGGACCGGAGUGGACGCAUCACUGGUGUUCGGGUUGUCAUGCCAAUGGCACUGCCCGGUAGCUAAAUGCGGAAGAGAUAAGUGCUGAAAGCAUCUAAGCACGAAACUUGCCCCGA
rnacentral:rRNA from 1 species